AAGCCCCGGCACCCUUUUGGGGUGCUGCCACAAAUUUGCACUUUGUUGCGCUCUGCGCCCGGGGCU
rnacentral:tRNA from 1 species